UGAGACACGGCCCAGACUCCUACGGGAGGCAGCAGUAGGGAAUCUUCCGCAAUGGACGAAAGUCUGACGGAGCAACGCCGCGUGAGUGAUGAAGGCUUUCGGGUCGUAAAACUCUGUUGUUAGGGAAGAACAAGUGCUAGUUGAAUAAGCUGGCACCUUGACGGUACCUAACCAGAAAGCCACGGCUAACUACGUGCCAGCAGCCGCGGUAAUACGUAGGUGGCAAGCGUUAUCCGGAAUUAUUGGGCGUAAAGCGCGCGCAGGUGGUUUCUUAAGUCUGAUGUGAAAGCCCACGGCUCAACCGUGGAGGGUCAUUGGAAACUGGGAGACUUGAGUGCAGUAGAGGAAAGUGGAAUUCCAUGUGUAGCGGUGAAAUGCGUAGAGAUAUGGAGGAACACCAGUGGCGAAGGCGACUUUCUGGUCUGUAACUGACACUGAGGCGCGAAAGCGUGGGGAGCAAACAGGAUUAGAUACCCUGGUAGUCCACGCCGUAAACGAUGAGUGCUAAGUGUUAGAGGGUUUCCGCCCUUUAG
rnacentral:rRNA from 1 species